GCAUAUUUCUUUACUAUAGAAAAUACAAAAUGAAAAAAAAUAAAAUGAAAGUGGGGUUAAUAAUAAUAAGCCUCAUGCAGUUGAAGCUUACCAGCUUCACCAUACUGAACUAGUAAGCCUCAUGCAGUUAUGCUCCUCAGCAGCAGACUUGAAUGUAAUUAAUCUACAAAUAUUAAGUAUGAACAUAAGAUAAUGAAUUUCAACUAUAUAAUAAAACAAUCCAAACUGAAAACAAAGAAGAAUUUCAACUUGGCAAUAUAAAAAUCAAAGAAAGCAGAGACACCGAAGAUAUCACAAACCUAAGAUAAUGAAUUUCAGCAAGUUAGUGUACUUUAAAAUCAUCAAUAUUGGGGGGAAAUUGAAAAAACAGCACCAUUGCAACAAAAUCAUCCACAUAGGAUUGCAGGUUCAAUUAUCUUCUCUCCUACUCCUAGCUAGAUA
rnacentral:lncRNA from 1 species